rnacentral:rRNA from 1 species
GACGUAGGACGCGAGCGUUAUCCGGAUUUACUGGGCGUAAAGCGUCUGUAGGCGGAAGUGUAAGUUGGACGUGAAAGCUCCGGGCUCAACUCGGAGAGGCCGUUCAAUACUGCACAACUAGAGGCCAUCAGAGGGGCGUGGAAUUUCCGGUGUAGCGGUAAAAUGCGCAGAUAUCGGAAGGAACACCAGUGGCGAAGGCGGCGCCCUGGGGUGGGCCUGACGCUAAGAGACGAAAGCUAGGGGAGCGAACAGGAUUAGAACCCGAGUAGUCC